rnacentral:rRNA from 1 species
AGAGUUUGAUCAUGGCUCAGAACGAACGCUGGCGGCGUGCUUAACACAUGCAAGUCGAACGAGAAAGCUUCCUUCGGGAAGUGAGUAGAGUGGCGCACGGGUGAGUAACGCGUAGGUAAUCUACCCUUAUAUCUGGGAUAACCGACCGAAAGGUUGGCUAAUACCGGAUACCCUUCAGUUGUCGCGAGUCAAUUGUAGGAAAGGUGACCUCUGAUCAAGUUACCGUAUAGGGAUGAGCCUGCGUACCAUUAGCUAGUAGGUGGGGUAAUGGCCUACCUAGGCGACGAUGGUUAGCGGGUCUGAGAGGAUGAUCCGCCACACUGGAACUGGAACACGGACCAGACUCCUACGGGAGGCAGCAGUGAGGAAUAUUGCGCAAUGGGGGCAACCCUGACGCAGCGACGCCGCGUGGGUGAGGAAGGUUUUCGGAUCGUAAAGCCCUGUCAGGUGGGAAGAAGUGUUAUACGGUUAAUACCCGUAUAAUUUGACGGUACCACCAGAGGAAGCACCGGCUAACUCCGUGCCAGCAGCCGCGGUAAUAUGGAGGGUGCGAGCGUUGUUCGGAAUUACUGGGCGUAAAGGGCGCGUAGGCGGCUUGAUAAGUCAGAUGUGAAAGCCCACGGCUCAACCGUGGAAGUGCAUCUGAAACUGUCUGGCUUGAGUAUUGGAUGGGAAAGUGGAAUUCCAGGUGUAGAGGUGAAAUUCGUAGAUAUCUGGAGGAACACCGGUGGCGAAGGCGACUUUCUGGACAAAUACUGACGCUGAGGCGCGAAAGCGUGGGGAGCAAACAGGAUUAGAUACCCUGGUAGUCCACGUCGUAAACGAUGAUAACUAGAGGUAGGGGGUGUUGAUCCCUUCUGUCCCGCAGCUAACGCAUUAAGUUAUCCGCCUGGGGGAGUACGGUCGCAAGAUUAAACUCAAAGGAAUUGACGGGGGCCCGCACAAGCGGUGGAGUAUGUGGUUUAUU